rnacentral:misc_RNA from 1 species
GGUACUCUCAUCAUAUACUUCAAAGAUCAUUCCUCGGCAGUGAUUUUAUUUUGGGCUAAUAAAAUCCAUGGUAAACAAAACAAACAAGACCACAAAGUUUUGGAUCAUUUAUGGGCACUUGGGCUGCUUCCCAUGGGUCUUCAGGUUGGCAUAGCAGGGACAUGACUUUGUGUUCCCAUAGGUACCGGCUGGAACACACUGGCAGGUCGCGCAACAGCUUCCACAUGCCCGCAUGCAUACCUUAGUCCGGGAAGCUUUUGAGCAUCUCCUUGCGCAUGAAUAGUCGCAAUUGAUCCUUGGAGCAAGAUGAAUUCCGACUAUUGUAGAUACAUCACUUUUUCUAUCAGGACUUCCAAUGCCAUUACUCAGAGAUGCUUCUGCAAAUACUAGGAAGAGGAAGAGAACAAGGAAGCAAGAGAGGAAGCACUUGCUAGCACCGGC